GACGAACGCUGGCGGCGUGCUUAACACAUGCAAGUCGAACGAAGUGGCGAACGGGUGAGUAAUACGUGGGUAACCUGCCCUCCUUUUUGGGAUAAGCCUUGGAAACGGGGUCUAAUACCGAAUAACGGGGGAUGGGCUCGCGGCCUAUCAGCUUGUUGGUGGGGUGAUGGCCUACCAAGGCGGUGACGGGUAGCCGGCCUGAGGGGGUGACCGGCCAGAUUGGGGGUGAGAUACGGCCGAGGCUCCUACGGGGGGUAGCAGGGGGGGAAGUUGCACAAGAGGCGCAAGCCUGAUCCAGCGGCGCGGCGUGGGGGAUGAAGGCUUUCGGGUUGUAAACCUCUUUGGCAAUCGACCGGGUAGGUGGAGAAGAAGCGCCGGCUAACUACGUGCCAGCAGCCGCGGUAAUUC
rnacentral:rRNA from 1 species